rnacentral:lncRNA from 1 species
GUUCCGGGAACGAACGUUCCUGCUCAUUCGCAUACUCCAUCUGCUCGCAAGUCUUGAGAGGGACUGGCAGAGAGUGGCCUUUAGGUGCCUGACAUCUGUUACCAGAUCUCUGGAUCCAUUGUCCUGAUGGAACAAUGAGAUCAAAGAGAGGAAGAGGCAGAGAAUCAACGUGAAUCAAAAUGUCUAACAUUGGGAUUUACACCACAGACCCUAGGACUUCUAUGCUUAAAUGUCUACACCCAAAGCAUAGUCCUAAACAUGGCCAGAAUGGAGACAGAUUCUGUGACCCCUGGGCCUUGGAAAUCAUCAAGAGUCUGGAUUUGGGUUUGGAGUGCUCAGUUGUUAGCAUAACCCCCAGGAUUAUGCCUAAACAAGACAUGUUAAUCACAGUAUUUAGAAUGUGGAAGCAAAAGGAUUAGAAAUUCAGGGUUAUC